UUCCCUGCGGAUGAUAUUCAGGUGACGGAGCUGUUAUCGUACGAGGAGCAGCUCAUAGCCAUUUUGGACCGCCAGGUAAGAAAGCUCCGGAACAAAGAUGUAGCCUCUGUUAAGGUGCUGUGGCGGAACGAUAAUAGGGAGGAAAUGACCUGGGAGGCCGAAGAGGAAAUGAAGAAGAAAUAUCCUCAUCUGUUCCCUUUACCCACAGUUGUUUUGGAGGAAGGAGCCCUUGUUUCAUCAAUUUGAUCAUAUAUCCAAGUGAAGAAGACUAGAGAAAAAGAUUUUGGUCGAAACGGGGAGUGAGCUUGGAUAGGUGUACAAAGCCAAAAAGGUA